AUUGAACGCUGGCGGCAGGCCUAACACAUGCAAGUCGAACGAGUGGCGGACGGGUGUGUAAUGUCUGGGAAACGGCCCGCUGGAGGGGGAUAACUACUGGAAACGGGAGCUAAUACCGCAUAACAUAGGAGGUGCCCAGAUGGGAUUAGCUAGGAGGUGGGGUAACGGCUCACAUAGGCGACGAUCCCGAGCUGGUCUGAGAGGAUGAACAGCGACACUGGAACUGAGACACGGGCCAGACUCCUACGCGAGGCAGCAGUGGGGAAUAUUGCACAAUGGGCGCAAGCCUGAUACAGCCAUGCCGCGUGUAUGAAGAAGGCCUUCGGGUUGUAAAGUACUUUCAGCGGGGAGGAGUUACCCGCAGAAGAAGCACCGGCUAACUCCGUGCCAGCAGCCGCGGUAAUAC
rnacentral:rRNA from 1 species